rnacentral:rRNA from 1 species
AUUGAACGCUGGCGGCAGGCUUAACACAUGCAAGUCGAGCGGUAACAGAGAGAAGCUUGCUUCUCUGCUGACGAGCGGCGGACGGGUGAGUAAUGCCUAGGAAUCUGCCUAGUAGUGGGGGAUAACUUGCCGAAAGGUAAGCUAAUACCGCAUACGUCCUACGGGAGAAAGGAGGGGACCUUCGGGCCUUUCGCUAUUAGAUGAGCCUAGGUCGGAUUAGUUAGUUGGUGAGGUAAUGGCUCACCAAGACCGCGAUCCGUAACUGGUCUGAGAGGAUGAUCAGUCACACUGGAACUGAGACACGGUCCAGACUCCUACGGGAGGCAGCGGUGGGGAAUAUUGGACAAUGGGGGGAACCCUGAUCCAGCCAUGCCGCGUGUGUGAAGAAGGUCUUAGGAUUGUAAAGCACUUUAAGUUGGGAGGAAGAGCAGUUAACUAAUAUUUGACUGUUUUGACGUUACCGACAGAAUAAGCACCGGCUAACUUCAUGCCAGCCGCCGCGGUAA